rnacentral:rRNA from 1 species
UGCCAGCCGCCGCGGUAAUACGGAGGGUGCAAGCGUUGUUCGGAAUUAUUGGGCGUAAAGCGCGUGUAGGCGGUUCGUUAAGUCUGGUGUGAAAGCCCGCAGCUCAACUGCGGAACUGCACUGGAAACUGGCAGACUAGAGCAUCGGAGAGGAGAGUGGAAUUCCUGGUGUAGCGGUGGAAUGCGUAGAUAUCAGGAGGAACACCGAAGGCGAAGGCAGCUCUCUGGACGAUUGCUGACCCUGAGGAACGAAAGCUAGGGGAGCGAACAGGAUUAGAUA